CCGUAUAACCAAGAUUGACUCCGUAAGUAGAAGUGGUGAGAAGAGAGAGUGUAAUGCGGAUAAGAACGAUAGAGACUCUGAGAGCGAAGGGCCGGCUUUUGAGUUACGAUCGAGCAAAAUGUCAGAGGUACUGGGCAUUGGUUAUAGGGUCGACCAAGGAAAAGGGAGGCUUAAUUUUGUGCUCCUCUUAUGAAGGUUCUCUAUCUAAAGUCAAGUUUCAGAUUUCUGUAAUGAAGAAAUAGUGUGAUUGCAGGUGCUUCUUGACGGUGGGAAGACAGAGAGGCUCAUCAAUCAGGAUUCGAAGCUUCCCAACCGGCUCUAACUCAAUAUCGGGUGCUUGGUCCUAUCAUAAAUGGAUGCUCAUGGAUUGAAUUACAACCACGCACUAGCCGAAAGCAUCAGUUGGCUACUAUUUGGUUGGAGCACAAGUAUUCCCCUAGCUGGAGCACUGCUUUUGGCCUUAAGGCAACAUUGUUCUGGAGAAAUCUGAGAGGAGGUGGCAUGAAGUAACAAACCAAGUAGGGGAACAUAUCACCCCAAGUACGAUUCUGUGACUCGGCAGUUCGACUAUGCCAUUUUAAAAACAGUUGGUCUACAUUGAUGCAGUUGCAUAAUUUACUAUUCCUGAGCUGAACAUCGUUGACCAACCAAAAUGGUGGGAAAGAAGUGUUCCGAAGUGCUUUAGAUCAAGCUGGAGAUAGAGUAGGUGUUGUUCAAUUCUAUGGAAAGCACUGUCUCUGGAUUUUGAGCAAUGGAAGAACUGUAUGCGGUAGUGAUUCUGUUUGGAAGGCCUUUAUUUUUUAUGCCAAAAGUUGUGAAUGCUUCUUUAAUUCUGAUCAACACAAUGAUUUGGCAAAGCCAUGGUCGACGUAAAGAAAAUGUUGGACCAAUUUCAUGAGUUGCCCAAUGCCAACAGCAUAAUUUUCAAAAACGCUAGAUGCAAGGUGCUUUUUAGUAUUAACUUUUUGAAGUUAUUCAAGAAUCUGAUGUGGCCUGUUUGGAGAAGUUAGCACUCAGCACUAGAUCUUCUACUGAAGCAGUCAUCUGGCUGAAGACCCAAGAAGCGCGGUGUAGGGAGAAGUUGGUAUUAGCUCUUGACUAAUCUUGAAGAAACUUAAGGUUAAAUCUCAUUGUUUGCACAACAGACUAUUGCAAAGAAUAUGAGAUAAUGUUAAAGGUCUGAGAUGUAUUGCCUCUAAAGGAUAUCCCAAAGUUGGAAUAUCUCUUAGAUACACACAUAAAAUCAUUUUUGUUGAUCUCGCAGCAUCGCGCGAGGAGCACUAUGUAGUAA